GCUCAGCGUGUUCCAAGACGCAGGCCCCACCCCCGGAGGUGAAUGUGUGGAGAUAACCAGUUACCACGGGGCUCUCUAGAAGGGGUCCAGCACACAGGCAGUUGGCAGAACCCGGGAAGUACCAGCUAUUGAAAUGAACUCAAACUGCCUUAUCUAAAGACUGUGAAAAAAGAAAUGGUUCGGGUACAAAGCUUACUGCCAAGGAGUGCUCUGCCACCUCUGCCUGACAGGGACAGAAGGGAUCUUGUUGGCAACACAUUCCCAGGGUUGGAAGGGCCCCUGCGGAGCUUCAUGGCACAGGCAGAACAGAUGCUGAGAUCACUCAUGUGGAUGAGAGACCUGGCUGCCCACUCACACCACCUGGCGAGCUUGAGAUCAGCAUCUAAAACGCCCCAGGAGAACUGGGCACUGGUUCUGACAAGUUAAGAAGGCAAAAGUCUGCUGCUCUGGGGUGACGGGUGUAACUGGAAUAAACACACCCAGGGACAGAGGAUAGCUGCUCAGGAAUUUCUGGGUAAGGUGAAUCCUACUGAACAAGAAAAGCUCUCCAAAGAAGUGGCCGGCUGUGAGUGAUGGUGUAGAUGCACUGGCUUUGCGAGGGGAAUGGGGGAGUGACUUGGGUGCUGACAGCAGCCAUCACACAAGGUUUCCUGAAGAUUGACAGUCAGCGCUGACAUUGUCAUCUUUGCAAGCCCCAAGAUUAGAUCUGCUAAGUCAGUGUCUGCAAGAUCUGCCUUGAUGAGGCUUGUACUGAGUAUUUGUUGUGUGGGGCCUCCUGGCCUCCAAGUCCCUCUCUGCCGCGAUAUGACAUCUUCCUUACGAGGAAUCAUUUGGUCGCCCUUGAGGACCA
rnacentral:lncRNA from 1 species